CAAUCUCUGGCUCCAGGCAAGACACCUCGAUCUGCAAACAAGAAAGCUGUUUCCCUCAGCCAUCUGGCCUUGAAUCAGCAGCAGAAGCAGAUGAACCGGCUGAUGAUUUACUGUACCUGAGACAUCUGGGGGAACAGGCUGAUGGCCACGGGCAGGGAGAGACCGAAGGUAACCAGGCACACAACGCUGUGGAUGGGCAGCAACAAUCUGCGGUUGCUCUGCAGAAAACGCAUCCUGCACAAGUCAAGAGAGAAUGAUCAAAGUCUGCUCUGUGGAUCAAUCCCAGGUGACGAGUGCGAGUUAUUUUUGGAUCUGUUUGAAAAACAUCCUGAGCAGUGUUUUGGGGGAGCUGUUUUACACAGUUAGAGGGUGAGAGAUUCAUCUGUCUGUGUGAAAGUUACAGCUCUGGGUUUGAUGAGUCAAACUGCAGUUUUCUUCUCUACCUAAAAUCAGAAUAUAGACAGAAAGUCUGCCUGUAGUGCGGCUGUUUGAGUUUGAAAACA